rnacentral:tRNA from 1 species
GGGGCUGUAGCUCAGUGGCAGAGCGCUUUCCUACCAUGCAUGGGGCACUGGGUUCGAGCUUCAGCACCACA